rnacentral:tRNA from 1 species
UGUUCUGUGGCUAAGUUGGUUUAAGCGGUGGUCUAUCGAUCGAAUACGAUGUCGUGGGAUCAAAUCUCACCAGAACGC